UCCUGUUUUCUCCUUUAAUGAGUCGACUCUUCUUGUGCUUUCAGACCAAAGAACUACAGACUCUUCACAACCUGCUCAAACUCUUGGUACAGGACCUCACCACACGGGUCAAGAAGGUCGCUGGUCGAAGCAGUUCGUAGAGUCGGGAUGCUUGGAGGAAAAUGAGGUUCGCCGGCUUUCACAUGGAGAUGCUGCUGUAGAUGCUGCUGUAGAGACCAAAGAACUACAGACUCUUCACAACCUGCUCAAACUCUUGGUACAGGACCUCACCACACGGGUCAAGAAGGUUCCUGUCUCAUUUCUACUCUGAAGCUCACCUUCUCCUGCUCAAACUGCUGACAGAUGUUUCUGCUGCUCUAAAGUCUGGUCUCCAGAACUUCCUAAAAACUCUCAAAGUCUCUUCUGCUGCAGGUUGCUUUGUAGAACUGUUGCAGAAAACCUCACUAAACCACAUGGAGGGGCCUCAAGAUAGUCAUCCAAAUGAAACCAUACAAAAACCAAACUAGCACAACCCAAACGCUAAAGUCUCCUGCAGCCUACCAGAGAACCUCUGAGAACAGAGAAUCAGGACAGGAACUCUUACCUUCUGGACAACCAACGCUGGUUCACAAACAAGAAUACAGAAUGUGUCUGACCAAAAACCUCUAAAGACUCACUACAGCCAAGAUAAAGACACAACUCAGCUGCACCAAAUCCACUAAUCACUGCACACAUUAGCAGCAUGUGCUAACUGUGGCUAAAGAACCACAUUUACCAAGACAGCUAUCCAGUACAAAGCCCUGAAACACACCAAGAAACACAUUAAAGAUGAUUUUACUGCUGGAAGCUGCAAGCCAACGCCUAAAGAACAAACUAAAGCAAUGGAGCCAAACCCAGUUCAGUGGUGAAGCAGAGGAAAUGUUUGAUGCAGCCAAAUAAAGCAGGAAGACACUGAGCUGCUCAGGUGUUCCUGAUAACACCAAGCAGCCACCUGGACAGCCAAUAGGAACACAGCUUACUGGAAGUCCAGAGGGUUGGGUUAGUGAAGGAAAUUUAGUUUAAAGUUGAAGCAGAAAGUUAACAAAGAAAGUUGAAAACCACCUUCUGAUCCCUGAAAUGUCUGAGUUUUCACACAAUGAAAGCCUGAACAUGUCAAAUUGGUUUCAUAGUAGAACCAUCAUUGUAAAAACCUCAUAGUAUGGUGUGUUGCUCAAAAAACAUUACGACCCGGCUGUCUAGGGUUGCCGAGGAGCAACACAAAAACAGGACAAACGCUGGUUUCCAGGGGGUUAGACGGCUAUUUAUUUGAAAGAGGAAGUUUACAACAACACAACAUGUGAGCAG
ensembl:lncRNA